rnacentral:tRNA from 1 species
GCAUUGGUGGUUCAGUGGUAGAAUUUUCGCCUGCCAUGCGGGAGACCCGGGUCCGAUUCCCGGCCAAUGCA